CCUACGGGCGGCAGCAGUGGGGGAUAUUGCACAAUGGGGGGAACCCUGAUGCAGCGACGCCGCGUGGGUGAAGGAGGGUUUCGGCGCGUAAAGCCCUAUCGGCAGGGAAGAAGGAGGACGGUACCUGACUAAGAAGCCCCGGCUAACUACGUGCCAGCAGCCGCGGUAAGACGGAGGGGGCAAGCGUUAUCCGGAGUUAAUGGGUGGAAAGGGGGCGCAGACGGCAGCGCAAGCCAGGAGUGAAAGCCCGGGGCACAACCCCGGGACUGCUCUUGGAACUGCGCGGCUUGAGUGCAGGAGGGGCAGGCGGAAUUCCUGGUGUAGCGGUGAAAUGCGUAGAUAUCAGGAGGAACACCGGUGGCGAAGGCGGCCUGCUGGACUGCGACUGACGUUGAGGCCCGAAAGCGUGGGGAGCAAACAGGAUUAGAUACCCUUGUAGUC
rnacentral:rRNA from 1 species